ensembl:lncRNA
UGUAAUAAGUAUUUUAUUGCAUUUUAUAAUGCCAUUGUCAAUAAUUAGUACAGAUUACAUGCAACUAGACCUACUGUACAGUUUUUUAUUGUCUGCAUGGACAGACACAAGAAGAUUCAGGUUACAAAUACACAGAUAUAUGUGUGUGUUUUAUACAGCAUGAAGGAAAGGGCAGUGACUGGCAUUACAUGGCUACCCGGGGUGGAGGGUCAGAGGUCUGGGCUCCACUGUCUGUCUAAAGCCACCAUCCAGUCCCUGUUCCCACCUCUUCCUCGGGUCACACUUUCAAAUAACAAGAAACAUUAAAACAAAUAAAACAAAUAAAACAAAAACAAAGGAUAAAGAGAGGUAAACAGGUAAACUGAACUAAGAAACAAUACAAAGAGUCACUGCUGAAAAUGUACACACAUUCCUAAGGUUUAACCAGAGGAGAGCUGAAGUGGUAGUUCCAUCAGAUUCUGGCUGUCUACUUGAUAAUACCGUCAGGCAAAUGCUCCACUUUGAAAGUCCCUUCCCCUUCGUAUGACACCUCAGAACUGUCCAAUCACACAUUACGAUUUGAUCUCCCCAUGUCCUUUGAGCUAGUCACCAGUCAACCGGAUGUGGGCUGCUCCUACAACACCAUUACGUGGAUGUAUGCGAGAUAACAGCUAUCAGUAAAGGUGAUCAGUGAAGUCGAUGGAGAGUUUUGGAAGUAGCUUGGUCUUUGUUUGGUUAAAGUUGUGGCAUUGGUUUGGUUACAGUUUGGUUAGAGUUCAAGAGUUUGGACUAAGCAAUGUUUUGCUUGCAAUGCCUUUGGUAGUCAGAGGAUGAGCUGCAUCUCUGAGAGUCAUUCCACAUUUUGGUAUUGAGACUGCGCAAGAGGACGAGUAUCAAAAAUGCAACAGUGUCAGUCUUUGAUCUGCCUUUGUGGGACUGGGAGAUGAGGUUUCUGGCUGGUCACCACCUGCCAGGUGUUUGACUCAGUGACACCCCCACGGCACCUGCAGAUGAUUGACAGCUCUGCGGGUCGGAGUUCAACACAGGAAUGACAGGGGUCAGGGGUCAGAGGGAGGGGGUCAAGGGGAGUAGGGACACAUAUUGGCACCUGAAAGGACCAACAGCAAUACCUUUCUAGAGCUCCGCAGUUUUUAAAGCAAGAGAGGGGCUACAUAUUCGUAAAUUUUUUUUCCUCUUUCUCUUUUUCUUUUCAGAGGUUUUGGUCCUGUCUUUGCGGAAAAAAAGUCCUUCUGAGGUAUCAAUACAUAAUGAAGAAACUUUUUAGUUUGUUUUCCAUAUGUUGUUUUUUUUUCUUUCCUUAAAAAUGCAUAAAUGCAGUACAGAGACAAAAAAGUAUCAAAAUAGACCUAGCUAAGAUAAAUAUACAAACAGGUGUUACCUAAACCACUGAUCUAACUUUAGUUCUUUUCAUUUUUUUCUUUUUUUUAAAGAGAUAAUACAUUUUUUAAAAAAAAUCAGCGUCCCAGACGUUUUAUGAAGAACCGAAAACAAACAAACCUAAAAAACAUUGGAAAAAACCCCAAACUAUUAAACCAAGAUACCUGCAGCACUUAAUAUGAUAAAUACAUAUACUUCUGCAUUAGCAGUACAGUAUAGGAAUCAGAGCUGAAAGCUUUACAAUAGCUAAACAGGUUCAGGAAAAGAAAAAGAAAAGAGAAAGAAAUCCCAACAGAGAAAAAUCAAAGGACAAAAUGGGAAAGAAUGCCCUGGAGAGAUAAGCCAAGCAUCAAUAUACAAGAAUACAUCAUGUUAUGCCAAGGUGGAGAAAGAACAGAAGUGUUACAUGGUGACCUGUGAACAAUCUACAUCUUUAUAAAACAGCUUUGUUUACAGGUGUACCUUAAAGCACAAGUCAGAGAUCAUCUAUGUACUGUAUGCAGCAGUUCCUCUUAGUUUGGAUAUUACUAGUAGUGAUGUGUUAGUCCUCUCAGUGUCUCUGUGAGUGUUUUGGUGAAAGGGGGUGCUGCAGUGUUGUGGGUCUUUGGAUAUCUGGAUGGUCAGAGCCUCCGUUUGCACUAACCCCUAGCCCUGUUUCUACACUUCUAUUAUACCCCUCUGUGUGUGCAUGUGUGUGUCUAUUUGUGUGUGUGGCACUAAUAUAUUCAGCCCAUCACUACAUCUGACAGCCAGCUCCCUGCAACAACACGCAGCCAUUAAUGACCAGCUUCUCAUUGGCCGAGAGCUGCGCCUGAUGAUGAAUAUGCACACGUACAGUCAAAGCACACAGUUGAGAGGCUGUUCACAUAGCUCGAUGCUAAUCGGGUACAGGAGUAUGGUCAGUUUGAAACAGCUGAUAGAAAACUGUUCAUAGAUAAUGAGCACUUUACAGCACAGAGUGCUUCAGAUGUGGUUUAAGGAGAGGUAGUCAUUUUUAAAUCUAUGGAAAGUGAAACGCCUCUAUGUUUUAUUUUGUUUUUUUGGGCUCAAGCAGAUGUAUUAGGGAGUCCAGAUCACCAAAUACUUUUUUUGUUGCCACUUUUAAAGUAAGCGUUAAAACAAUUUUGGCUUUUUUUUUAAAUCAUCAUUGAGGAUGAAUGGAGAAAACAAUGUUUAAGAGAUUUCAGUCUCCCGUUGGCUAUGUGUUGAACUGUUUUGAAAAGGAGGUAGUGUUAUUUUUGGUUUUUAAUCUCACUUCAAGAUUUCUGUCUGCCACUUUGUACUUUGUAAUAAAUCAGUCUCUAAUGUGACAGGAAACAGUCCUGUGUGAAUGCAAACUCGUCGGAAAUGUGAUUUUUUUUUUCGUUAAAUAACAAAACCCAUCUGAAGUGCAAGAGAUAGUUUGACAUAAUAAUAAUAAUAAAAAAAACAAAACAUUAAAAUAGGAACCAAUCUUUAAAAUUACUUAACGUCCCUUGGUUGUUUUCCUCUUACAUUGGUAUAUUUUUGCUGUUUUCCAUUGUUCCCUCUUUAUUGUAUAAUCAAUAGAUAUUUGGAAUAACUCCUCCCUGCCCAAAGAUAUCACUUUUUUUUUAAAGCAGAUUACAGUACACAACUUCUUCCUGUGAAUGCUGAACAUUUAUGUGUAAAGAGCUUUCUCUUAUGGAUUUAAAACUUCAACAGUAUCAAUAUAAAGUACCUAUAUAACAGCAGCUGUUUCAAAGAUUUUUUUUCCAUUUCACCUUUUGUUUUAAAUCUCAGACAGAAAGGUAAUUGUUGUGUUCAAAUGCCUUGUGAGUGUUUAUAUUAUUUUUUAUUUUUAGGCCUGCUCACACUGUAGUCGGGCCACUCCCAGGAUUGUGUUUGGAACACAGCUGAGCCUGAGUAUGAGAGAGAGAGAGAGAGAGAGACGGGGCUUCAUCUCUAAGUGCUUUUCUCUUUCUUCUGUGUUUCUGAGGAACUGUGCGAGGUUUGUUAAUACUAGUUUUUGGCCUCAUAAGUAAUGUGGGUCAUUCCUAACUGUCUCCAAAUUGUAGUUUGCUUUACACACUUUGGUUUUUGGAAUGGUCAGCACUGUAAGUCAGGUAUAAUUUUUCAACACAAUAGUUAUAUGAAUACAACAAUAAGAAUUCAAACUCCUGGUUUGUUGACUUUUGGACAGUUCUUAAAAAAAUUAAAUAAAAGAAUUAAAAAAAAAACAAAGGGAAAAAUGAACUACAGGGUUUUUGGUUUUCUACAUAUUUCUUUGGUUACCUGUAACAAAAAUAAAAACGGGAAUAGGCAGAUAAUAGAUUCAAAAUAAAUGUUAAAUUUGGUAUGGCACUGUAGAGAACAGUAAUGCUUUUCUGCUAAUGGAAACAAAGAAAUCUCACGUGCUAUUCCUUUAACAUAAACUCACACAGUGAAUUGCAGCUAGCUUCUACACAGUAACUAUUACAACCACAGAGCUUUGAAUCGAAGCUGAGCAGAGUUGCCACAUUUGGUGUCCCACAGAAAGAAUCCCCCCUUAUUUCUUUAACGAUUUGGACACAGUUCCAGGCAGAACCUCUGUGGGAUGAGGUAUUCUCUGACUGCAAUAAUAAUAUAUCUAUAUAUAGUUUUAAAGCAUCAUGGAUAUUUCCCAACUAAAUACACAACCAAAAACAAGUGAGUGAGAGAUAAUUAGAAGAAGAAAAAAAAAGAUUCAGCUGUUAAAUAAUCUGUCUGGACAACGGCAACUUUAAGUGCUAUCUCCCAAUUUCUUGCCUGCUACGCUGGGGACAGAAAGGGAAAGGGGCGGGAUUAAAGGAUCAGGUAAAUUGGGACAAUACUGAGCUUUUUUUUGUGUUUUUUGUUUUUUGCCAAUACUCAUUUGGAAUGGUGUGAACAACCAGAGUAAACUAAACAACUUACAAUACAAAAAACAUAAACAGCAUCCAUAGAAAAGGUACGUCAAAACGCCACCUUGGAAAUAUUGAUCCUCAAAAAUAAACAAUGAUAACAACAACAAAUUAAAAAAAAAAGGAAAUGACAAAA